AGACACUUGCUGUGAAAACGGAAAUGGAUGCCGAAUCCGAAGGACAUGACAGUUCAUUUUGGGGAUAUUUACAGGAUGUUGUCCACUAAGCUAAUGAUGGGGAUCGUAGCACUACCCUGCACACAGACAUGGAAUGGAUCUGCCUAGUCCAUUAUCAGAAGAGUGACCAGGACUGUUCGUUCCGUCAGAGAAGUUUCUGGAGAAGCAUUACAAGAUACAGAGCUACAUUAUUUUAAAUUAGUUUUACUUCCUGGUCACUUGGCCAGUUAUCAACUUAUUUUUUUGAAGUAUCAUUUGAAAACUAAUAACGCCCCUUGGGCCCAAUGGAUAUUAAAAACAGCUGGCUGAAAUAUCAUGAUUGAUGAAUAUAAUAAAACACUUUUAUUAAAAACAAGUUAUUAGAUUUCAAACAUUCAUUGUUAAACUUGCUAACACAUAGUAUAUAUAUUGUACCUAAUAACCAUGUUAACUGCUAGCAAAUAAUUAAGAAAAGAAAAAAAUACACUGUAUCUAUAAUCUCCUGAAGAAAUAAAUCAAGUCUUCUUGUUACAUAAUUUAUAGAUAAUAUUUAAAAAUGGGUCUGAGCUAGGUUUUGUUUGUCACAUAAAACUAACACAAUAGUCGAUGUCAUCUAACUCAUCUUCGUUUUGUCAUUGUCAUCUAGUAAGUGACCAUGUAUUCAGCAAAGUUCAUUCUUUGUCACCAUUUUAAUUAUUUCAUGCUUUGAGGUGACACUUUUAAGGAAGGAGUACACAGUUUGUGUUGCUGGCUGCAAGAACGACUCACCCACCCCCGAGUACAUACAUAUUUAAAGUGUACAGGGGGUUAUAGCAGGUACCACUCACUCUAAACAGGGAUUUCAUGUAGGGACUCAUUUCUCCCGAGUGUCUUGACAUUCACCAGCUGGCAACAUAUGUGUCUCGAUCAGCUCAGCCUCAUUUACAUUCUCAAUUUUAGCAAUGAAUUAUCAUUAAAAUUUUUAGGGACUUGUAUGAAUGGGCAGAAGAAAUUUUCUUGACUGACUAUCCCAUCAUUGCCAGCUGUUGGAGACUGAACACUUUAUUGAAAAUUGCUGGGGUGCAGCAAUCAGUGGGUGUCCUCAUUUGCCCUGAGAAGAGUCAGAGAAGGUAGCAGUUACUUGAGAUGUCCGGCUGAUUGAUGAGGAUAAUUUCCCUGAGACUCUAACAUUUUGUAGGACUUGGAUAGCUUUAUUACUGUAGAAAAUGUCAGGACGGUGGAGAUUUAGAUAAGUGGUGUGAUGUUAUUGAUGGUAAACAGAAGACUGUGACCUUGAAUCUGAAGAUCUGUGAUGAAGACUGGACGUUUGGGGUCACUCUCUGUUACAGUACUACAAAUCUAACAGUGUAUAACUCAGCCACAAAGAGGUUGUCUCUGAUGUCCACACAUAAACCGAAUGGAUAGACUACAUCACAGUGAAUGUAACGGAGGAACUGUCCGUCCUGAUCUAGGAUGUGGAUACGAUGAUUGUGAUAGUCUGCUGUCAGGAUGUGACUCUGGCUGUCUGUAGUGAUGCCGUAUGGAUGAAAUGAUUGCUCGGUAUUAGAGGGAUGACCAGUGUAUCUAAAUCGGAGUUUUCCUGACUGAUUGACCACCACUACUGCUCUAGCUGUAAAGUCAGCCACACAGAUAUCCAGGUUCUUGUUCUCACUGAGGUAUUUAGUGUUAUUAUCAGAUGAGUAGAGAGGACGACCCUGAUCAUCAAACUGAAUGCUUUGUUUCUCUGUGGAGCCGGAGUAACGCACGACUUUGGAUUGUGUUUCAUCAUCACUGAUCAUGGUAACCAGGAGGUCGUUACCCGCGGUACAGCAGACAUAGCCAGGUCUCCACCCCUGUAGUGUGAUCACGAAUGAGUUGAGUGGAAUAAUGAACCUCCAGAUGUCUAUGUACACGUGUAUGAAUAAACUCUGUUGUACUCGCGCGUGCGAGCUUAUCCAA